AUCUAUCUUCUUCAUGUUUUCCAAGUCCUGCCGUAGGCUGUCAUUUAGCAAAUAAAAAAACAUCUCUAAUACAGCUUUUGGAGGAAGAAGCAGGAAGAACAGAUGAAUAGGGGAAUCUUGUAUGUCACCUCCUCUACAUUAACUUAUUGUCCUGCUUUCAGCAGGACAGAGUUAAUUUCUUCUCAGUUGCUGUUACAGUCCUGUGUUUUGGAUCUGGAAUGAGAAUGGAUAACACACUGAUGUUUUGGGUUUUUGCUAAGUCAUGUUUAUCUUAAGUCAAGGACUUUUCCUUGUCUCAUGCUCCGCCAGUGAGGAGAACCUUCUGCUUUAUCAUAAAAUGAUGUUACAGCUUUUACUUCGGUAGAAACAAUAUUAUCACUUGUACCUGGAAGAAAUUGGCAAGCGGACCAUGAUGAAAAAACAUGGAACAUACAAAGCACUGCAAAGGCCAUAUGUUCUACUUUGGGAGAUGAGGAGUAAUAUCGGUAAGGCAGUGGUGCAUUAAUCAGCUGCAGAUUCAUUCUUUCCAGUGAUUUUGUUUGCUGCAUCUUUGUUGGAUACAUGCAUCAGGAGACCAAAAGAAGAUAAGUUCUUCUUGCUGGCUCUAAACCUUUCAUACAAUGGUUUCAGUUUGUCAGCCUCAUUUCUUACGCACAGUACAAAAGCAUUAUCCAAAUUGACUGGCUAACAACACACAAUUUAUGGAUAUUUAUUUAUUUCAGCCUCCUGGCAAAUCAUAAGUAAUAAUGACACAGAAUUCAGUUUAUUUGUUAUUACUGGCAGAAGGAAAAUUUUGCAUAAGAUCACAAGAUUACUUUUUUGUUAAAUAAGAAUAUCUGCUUCACUAUUCACCAAUGUUUGAUCUGUAUAAAUCCUUGGGGAUUCAAAAUGUCAAAAAAAGUAAAGGGGGACUCUAGUUCUCUCCAUUUACAAAAGUCAAGAUUAUUCAUGUUACACCUAGGUGACAUAAAAAGUAAUAUCUGAAGGCAACACUAUGUUUGAAAUUCUGUCCCUUUCAGGAACAUUAUGUUAUUUUUAAUUGGAUUAAAAUAGUGUUUGGGACUCUAAUGUUUUUGUCCCUUCAGUGGGUAAGGUAAAAUAUUGAAGCAAAGGACGAACUGAGAAAAAUAAUGCCAGAAAGAGGAAUAUGAAAAUGACAACAGUGAAAUCUGUUGAAGAGAAUAAAAAUGCCAUUGAUGAAAUAGUAACUACAAAAGCCACUGUUUUUAUUUUAAUUAUAUUUAAUAACCCUAAAGAUAUAUGCCUACUAACAUGAAAAUACUAUCAGGUAGCAUCUGCAAAAACCUGGUUUUGUCUCCAUUCUCCCAAACUCAAAUUCAACAGGUUGUUAGCCCAGUCUUUUGAUCAGAGUCUAAAAACAGGCAUAUAAAAACUGGAAAUAGCUGAACUUGGAGAACAUAUGAACUUGGAGCACAUAAAUGAAGUUUUGAAAGGAGGAAGGCUAGAAAUUCUUUCUAAUGGAGGAAAAAGAAAUUGCUAAUACCACAGAGGAAAAAAAACAUUUUAUGUCCUGCAAAAUUUUCUUAACACAGGUUAAGGAUCCCCCCAUUUGGAGUUAAGGGUCAGUAACAGACUCUAGUUUGAAACAGAUUAAAUGUAAAUCAUGUAAAUCAGAUUAAAUGUACCAUCUAGAUACACAUUACUUGACACUGGAAAGCUUGAUAUGUGUGAUACCAUUUUUUGCUAUUAAGUGGAAAUAAUAAAGUGUCAGACAUGCCUCUCACUCUUGCUUAAAAUUAAGCCAUUGAAGUGUUUUUAACC